GGUUGGAUCAUUAUUGAUUAAACCUUAGCUUGGAAGUUGAGACCUUUACGGGACUCCUUUCAGGUUAAAUUUACACUAUGUGCACUGUAUAUGUUUUUCGAGUCUAUUGGUAUGCGAAAGAGUAAUGGUAAGGAAUGACUUUACGGUUAUCCUUUACUAUGAAAGUAGCCGUACUUUAGGUUUAAUGAAGUUGAUUUGGGUUAAAGUUUGUUAGUAACUGAAAGGUGAAAAUGAAUUUGAACUUGUGUUAAUUUCAGGUAACUUUUUUGUUAGGGGAUUCACUCCCUACUAUAGACUCGGCUUUAUUAACCAACCCUUUUAACAUUUGACUUAGAAAUUUUUGUAAAAAAGAAAUUAAAACAACUUUUGACAACGGAUCUCUAGGCUCUCGCAACGAUGAAGAACGCAGCGAAAUGCGAUACGUAAUGUGAAUUGCAGAAUUCCGUGAAUCAUCUAAUCUUUGAACGCACAUUGCACUCUCUUUCGGGAGAGUAUGCCUGUUUGAGAAUCUAUAGUAUUCUUUUUCUUAAUUAUGAGCCUAUCUUUUUACUAAGAUAGUGAAUAAUUGAUUAGGAAAGAUUUGAGGUUUCCCUAUUGACUUAGGGUACCUUUAAAUAGAUAACUUUGAAUGGCAAUUUGAUGUUUGAACCUUCAACAUUCAUCGGAACAGUAGUCGAAUAAACCUUUUGGUUUUAACUUUUGCUAAGUACUUUGAUAGGAGAUUAGUCAUGUUGGUAUUGAAGGUCCUUAACCUUGAUAAAGUCAAUUUGCGUUGACUUGAACCAUGGUCUCAAAUCAGGUAGGAAGACCCGCUGAACUUAAGCAUAUCAAUAAGCGGAGGAAAAGAAACUAACAAGGAUUCCCCUAGUAACGGCGAGUGAAGCGGGAACAGCUCAAAUUUGAAAUCUUACUGUUUUACAGUACGAAUUGUAGUUUAGAGAAGCGUUUUCGAGGUCGACAUUUAGUACAAGUUCUUUGGAACGAGACAUCAUAGAGGGUGAAAAUCCCGUCUUUGACUAAGUGUUUGAUCUUAUGUGAUACGUUUUCCAAGAGUCGGUUUGUUUGGGAAUGCAGACCAAAAUGGGUGGUAAAUACCAUCUAAAGCUAAAUAUUGGCGAGAGACCGAUAGCGAACAAGUACCGUGAGGGAAAGAUGAAAAGAACUUUGAAAAGAGAGUUAAAUAGUACGUGAAAUUGUCAAAAGGGAAACGCUUGAAACCAGUAUUGUGGGCAGAAAUUCAGCUAUUCAUUAGAGUAGUGUAUUUUUCUGUUUACGAGUCAACAUCAGUUUUGUUUAAAGUAAAAAGCUUUAGGAAGGUAGCCUUCGGGUAUUAUAGCCUAAAGUCAUGCUUUGGAUGAGACUGAGGACUGCAGCGUUAUUUGGGUUUAUUCCACACCAACGCUUAGGAUGUUGACGAAAUGGUUUUAAACGACCCGUCUUGAAACACGGACCAAGGAGUCUAACAUGUAUGCGAGUAUUUGGGUUGUAAACCCUUUUGCGUAGUGAAAGCGAAAAGGUGGGACUCUUUAUUGAUGCACCAUCGGCCGCGACAGAUUAUUACUAUCUCGUCGUGAGUAUGAGCAUAUAUGUUGGGACCCGAAAGAUGGUGAACUAUGCCUGAAUAGGGUGAAGCCAGAGGAAACUCUGGUGGAGGCUCGUAGCGGUUCUGACGUGCAAAUCGAUCGUCGAAUUUGGGUAUAGGGGCGAAAGACUAAUCGAACCAUCUAGUAGCUGGUUCCCUC
rnacentral:misc_RNA from 1 species